GAUGAAGAACGUAGCGAAAUGCGAUAAGUAAUGUGAAUUGCAGAAUUCAGUGAAUCAUCGAAUCUUUGAACGCACAUUGCGCCCCCUGGUAUUCCGAGGGGCAUGCCUGCUCGAGCGUCAUUAUAACCCCUCAAGCUCAGCUUGGUGUUGGGGCCUGCUGCACUGGCAGCCCUUAAAAUCAGUGGCGGCGCCAUCUGGCUCUAAGCGUAGUAAUUCUUCUCGCUAUGGAGUCCUGGUGGAUGCUUGCCAUCAACCCCCAAUUUUUCUAUGGUUGACCUCGGAUCAGGUAGGGAUACCCGCUGAACUUAAGCAUAUCAAUAAGCGGAGGA
rnacentral:misc_RNA from 1 species